UACGUAUGGGGCAAGCGUUAUCCGGAUUUACUGGGUGUAAAGGGAGCGCAGGCGGCCUGGCAAGCCUGAUGUGAAAUACCGGGGCCCAACCCCGGGGCUGCAUUGGGAACUGCCAGGCUGGAGUGCCGGAGAGGCAGGCGGAAUUCCUAGUGUAGCGGUGAAAUGCGUAGAUAUUAGGAGGAACACCAGUGGCGAAGGCAGCCUGCUGGACGGUGACUGACGCUGAGGCUCGAAAGCGUGGGGAGCAAACAGG
rnacentral:rRNA from 1 species